UACGAAGGGUGCAAGCGUUAAUCGGAAUUACUGGGCGUAAAGGGUGCGUAGGUGGUUGUUUAAGCCCGCCGUGAAAUCCCCGGGCUCAACCUGGGAAUGGCGAUGGAUACUGGGCAGCUAGAGUGUGUCAGAGGAUGGUGGAAUUCCCGGUGUAGCGGUGAAAUGCGUAGAGAUCGGGAGGAACAUCAGUGGCGAAGGCGGCCAUCUGGGACAACACUGACGCUGAAGCACGAAAGCGUGGGGAGCAAACAGG
rnacentral:rRNA from 1 species